rnacentral:rRNA from 1 species
UCAGCGUCAGUAUCGGUCCAGGGGAGUCGCCUUCGCCACUGGAUGUUCCUUCCUAUCUCUACGCAUUUCACCGCUACACAGGAAAUUCCACCCCCCUCUACCGUACUCUAGCCAGACAGUUUUAGAUGCAGUUCCCAGGUUGAGCCCAGGGAUUUCACAUCUAACUUAUCUAACCGCCUACGCGCGCUUUACGCCCAGUAAUUCCGAUUAACGCUUGCACCCUCCGU